AACGAACGCUGGCGGCAUGCCUAACACAUGCAAGUCGAACGAGACCUUCGGGUCUAGUGGCGCACGGGUGCGUAACGCGUGGGAACCUGCCCUUAGGUUCGGAAUAACUCCCCGAAAGGGUGGCUAAUACCGGUUAAUGUCUUCGGACCAAAGAUUUAUCGCCUUUGGAUGGGCCCGCGUUGGAUUAGCUAGUUGGUAGGGUAAAAGCCUACCAAGGCGACGAUCCAUAGCUGGUCUGAGAGGAUGAUCAGCCACACUGGGACUGAGACACGGCCCAGACUCCUACGGGAGGCAGCAGUGGGGAAUAUUGGACAAUGGGCGAAAGCCUGAUCCAGCAAUGCCGCGUGAGUGAUGAAGGCCUUAGGGUUGUAAAGCUCUUUUACCCGGGAUGAUAAUGACAGUACCGGGAGAAUAAGCUCCGGCUAACUCCGUG
rnacentral:rRNA from 1 species